CCAGCCGCUCAAUGAGAUGUGUAAAAAUCUUUGGGCCUCUCAUGAAGCCCAGGGAUCGUUCUGUCACACACCUAACGACAUGUUAAAGGGACAGAACAAAUCAAUACAGCCAACUGAGAAUAACUGGAAUAAUGGAACUUGUUUUCAUACAGUCGUAUGACUGAGAAAUCUGCUAACCGCAGACACCUUGUACAGAACCCGUCCAAGUCGGAGAAGUCCUGUCCAAGCUGAAGCAGAAGCUACAUUAUGACUAUACGUAAGGCUCUCAACUUAGAACUGAUGAACCUUCACUCUGCACCAGUGUCGAGUGUGGAUGGACACAGGAGAUCGUAAAGUGGUGUUCAAUCAGGACCUGCUACAACACAGCCAGCACCCUUCUCAUCAGUAUGACAACAAUGUCACAGUGCCCCUUUCACCACUGUUUGAUGGUAAACUGACAAUAAUCUUUUUGUUGUCUUAUGUAUUUGUCAGUCAUUUACAUUUUUUAACACAACUUAUUAUAUGUCAUAUUACAAAUGGACAAGCUUCUCAAAACUCAAUUUGAAAGCCAUAUUCAAGCAGUUUGGUAUGACAAUUCAUUGAAAACAGUAGUCUGAGGACUAUGAUCAUAUUGUGCAGGAUCAAGAUUAUUACAGGGCGCACAGUUACAAGCCGAUUUUGGGUUAAAUAAGGGACAUUAAUAAAUAAGUAUUACAUAUUGUCCAUAAAAAGACAAAAGCUGCUUCUAACACAUUGAGACCCAAAAGCCUCCAAUCAACCCAGAUCCAAUAAUAAAGAAUACCAGAAAGCUGCUGCUGACUUUUACUGUUCACAAAUAGGGGUCAAAAAAUUUUUCUUAUUUUCAGCAAGAUAAUUUAUUUCAGCAGGGAGACAUUACACAACUAAUUUAAAUGUCUGUAAUUUGGUUGGUUAAACAAAGUGUUAACCAGCUGUUCCUGAUGGAACACGGGUGUAAUUUCUAACCAGGUCGACCUGCUUCUUAAGUCUUCAAGAUGGUCUCUUCAAGGUGGAAGGAGUGAUAUCUAUACUUACAGCCUUGCAAAAGUAUUCAUACCACUUAAACUUAUUCACCUUUUCCCUUGUUAGAUCCACAAGCGUAGUGCAACAAUUGUGAAGUAGAAGGUAAAUGAUAGCUUGUUCUUCUUUUUUUUAAUAAAUACAAAUCUGAAAAGUAUGGUG